UAUGAGAUUUAUUAUUCUCCCAACAUUAUUCCCUUUUAAUCAUCGAGAAACUUUGAAAUUAAUCGUCGAAAUAUUUUGUUUUAUACUUUUCCAUGCUUAACCAUGAAUUAUUUUUGGACGUGCAUAUGCGGUGAAUCACGCUACUCUUGGGACUUAACCAAAAUAAUUUUGUCUUAGUUUGCUCUACAGUAUCCUAUUGCAAUCCCGUUGCGUUUAAGAACUCCGGUGGUUUCCCGAAUAGCACGCGUUCUGAGAAGUUUGAUCUUAAAUAUUAAACUCAUUGUCGAAGAUCCUUCGCGUGAAAGUUAUUUAAAGUAAAAUAAGAAUGUGGAAAAAGUUCCCUACACAAUUUGCUCCAUAGCAAACCAUCCGCGACCGCCACCAGCGGCGGGGCCUCAACUUUAAUAAAUAAAAAAACGUAGUGGUAGCAAUGAAUAUGAAGAAGAGCUCCAUUGCGAUCGUCGGGAGUUUUCCGGACAGAUGUUUGGGAAGAACAGCUGCAAGCUUGUGGAUAAUGAAUCUUGUUCGAAGCGGCGCAAAAGUGGAAGUGAUCUGAAUUAAAAUCAACGAUGAUCAUCAAAUGCAAUAUAAUGAGACCCUUAUCACACACUUCUUCAUGAUUUGACUGAAAAUAAAUGCGCUUCAUGCGAAUAUUAA